UUUUAUUGUGGUAGCCCACAAAAUAUUGGGACAUACAACAAAAGAAGAAAUGGCUACCACAUGCAAUGAAGGCAGCAGGCGCGCAAAUGACCCACUCCCGAUGCGGGAAGGUAGUGACGACAAAUAACAAUACAGGACUCUUUAGAGGCCCUGUAAUUGUAAUGAGUCCACUUGAAAUCCUUUAACUCUGAUCAUUUGGAGGGAAGUCUGGUGCAGAGCCACUGACCCGUGUGUGCUGCAGCUGAAACUCCACUA